rnacentral:rRNA from 1 species
CUGAUUAGAGGUAGACGCAGAGAACUGAAACAUCUUAGUACCUGCAGGAAGAGAAAGAAAAUUCGAUUCCCUGAGUAGCGGCGAGCGAAACGGGAAGAGCCCAAACCAACAAGCUUGCUUGUUGGGGUUGUAGGACUCCGAUAUGGUAGUCUGUUAGUAUAGUUGAAGGAUUUGGAAAAUUCCGCUAAAGAGGGUGAAAGCCCCGUAGACGAAAUGCUGACAACACCUAGGAGGAUCCUGAGUACGGCGGAACACGAGAAAUUCCGUCGGAAUCCGCGGGGACCAUCCCGCAAGGCUAAAUACUCCCUAGUGACCGAUAGUGAACCAGUACCGUGAGGGAAAGGUGAAAAGCACCCCGGAAGGGGAGUGAAAUAGAUCCUGAAACCGUGUGCCUACAACAAGUCAAAGCUCGUUAAUGAGUGAUGGCGUGCCUUUUGUAGAAUGAACCGGCGAGUUACGAUUGCAUGCGAGGUUAAGUCGAAGAGACGGAGCCGCAGCGAAA